ACGCUCGACACCUACGGGAGGCGGCAGUGGGGAAUAUUGCACAAUGGGGGAAACCCUGAUGCAGCGACGCCGCGUGAGCGAAGAAGUAUUUCGGUAUGUAAAGCUCUAUCAGCAGGGAAGAAACUGACGGUACCUGACUAAGAAGCACCGGCUAAAUACGUGCCAGCAGCUGCGGUAAUCUGAGCGGGCUGGCAAGGC
rnacentral:rRNA from 1 species